rnacentral:piRNA from 1 species
UAGCCACAUAAUAAUUAGGGAAAUUACUCUC